CCUACGGGAGGCAGCAGUGAGGAAUAUUGGUCAAUGGCCGGAAGGCUGAACCAGCCAUGCCGCGUGAAGGUCAGUGCCCUAUGGGCGUUAAACUUCUUUUGUGCGGGAGCAAUAAUGGUCACGUGUGGCCAGACGAGAGUACCGUACGAAUAAGCAUCGGCUAACUCCGUGCCAGCAGCCGCGGUAAUACGGGGGAUGCAAGCGUUAUCGGGAUUUAUUGGGUUUAAAGGGUGCGUAGGCUGUGAGGUAAGUCAGCGGUGAAAUGCCCCCGCUCAACGGGGUGAAGUGCCAUUGAUACUGCCUGGCUGGAAUGCGGAUGCCGGGGGAGGAAUGUGUGGUGUAGCGGUGAAAUGCAUAGAUAUCACACAGAACACCGAUUGCGAAGGCAUCUCACGAAUCCGCGAUUGACGCUGAUGCACGAAAGCGUGGGUAUCAAACAGGAUUAGAUACCCGAGUAGUC
rnacentral:rRNA from 1 species